rnacentral:tRNA from 1 species
UCCCUGGUGGCUUAGCUGGUAAAGAAUCCACCUUCAACGUGGGAGACCUGGGUUCAAUCCCUAGGUUAGGAA